GCUAAGGAUUAACGCAGCAAUUUACAUCCCGACACAUCCAAAUCCAGGCUUACCCUAAAUAUUUACAGGUUGUAUCUGUUGUUUGGUUCCUUGUGCAGCAAGUUGCUACUGUUUGUUUGAUUGGGAUUUGAGUAUAUGUUCCUUGUCGAAUUCAAUCUUAAACAAGAGUUUUGUUGGAGGGAUCAACAUCAACGUUUUCGUCCCAAAUCCCUGGAUCUCAUUCUCCUCCGAUCCAUUAACAGCAAGUUGCUACUGUUUGUUUGAUUGGGAUUUGAGUAUAUGUUCCUUGUCGAAUUCAAUCUUAAACAAGAGUUUUGUUGGAGGGAUCAACAUCAACGUUUUCGUCCCAAAUCCCUGGAUCUCAUUCUCCUCCGAUCCAUUAACAGGUUAGGCCAUACUUGUAAUUUUUGCCCUACACAGGCUAACAGGCAUUUGCUGCUUCCCCUGAGAAUGCACAUUGAUAAUGAAAGGUCAAGAGAAAAUAUGCUUGCUGUAAACCUUUUUGUAGCCUGAACAUUUGGGCGUACCAGCAUUUCUUCGUAAUGAAGCUUCAUGGCUGCCCUAUCAUAUUUGAGGAGAGCAUGCAAGUAGCCAAAUUGACCAGUAAAGUAACAAGUGAAUCAUCUUCCACAUCACAAAUGAGCCGGCAAGGUGAGACUGAGUGCAGUCCAUCGUAGCAAAUGUACAACCCACUUGAAAAAAAUGGAGAGCUGAGAGUUGGCAGAGAGAGAUUUGGACAGAUUAUCAAGCCUCUACAAGGACUUAGUUGCAAAGUUCACUAGCCUGCUUAAAGCUAUCGGUUACCUUUCAAAUUCAGAGGAAGAACCACUCUAUCGUCAUCUAGAAAUACUACAAGCAGCAGAAAACCCACUUGUAUGGCAGCACCAUGGAACCAUAAGUACAAAAGAAGCACGCCCGGAUGAAUGGUAUGAAAUUGAAUAUUUAUUUCUACUGCCGUCUUAGAAGCUUAUAGUCACCUAAUUCCUAAAUUUAUUUGUGUGCUAGUCUUUGAAUUUAUAAAACUUGUAUCACGCCAAUUUUUAGCUCCUAAGAAAAUGACUGGUACAAGUUAUAUAAAUUUGAAAAUUAGCUUGCAUACAAAUAAAGGGAAAAAGCCAUUGCACGAACUCCCCGAAUGUAAGGAUGAAAGUUAAUUUAAUCCUUGUAUUUCAUAUUUCUGUAAAGAAAUUCUCAAACCGAUAACCUUUUGCUGACAAAGAAGCAAUCUCAUCACUGUUCCAAAGUUCACCCAAAUUAUAUAGUAAAUUAAAGUUUAUUC